rnacentral:misc_RNA from 1 species
AAAUCUUUAGUGGUGCAUUCAGUAAUUAUCCAUGGCCAUACUCAUUUCUGCAAAUAAUCCUGAUUUCACAAAGGUGGAAGCUGAGAUGGUAGAUUGUGUCAAAAUUCUUUAAAAGUGAUCAGGGAGGAGGUAUAAGAAAAAUGGCUGAAGGGGAGCUUUGGAGCGACAUUAAAAGUUGUCUUUGUGUGAUCUAUCGGUCACAAGUUUGAGCCGUGGAAGUAGUCACUAAUGCUUGAAUUAGGGCAGGCUGUCUAUAUCAGAUCCAUGGGGUGUGACCCUUUUCCAUCCCUGUGUGAACACGAUAUGCCUUGCGCACCGGCUGCUGUGUCAUGUAAGAAAAUGAUCGUCUAUUUCUUUUAGCUGAUUGUAUUGAGCUAUGAUGGUAGACUCUGUCUCAGUUUCUUUGAUAUGAUUUUCUAUUCUUUGUCUAAUGGUGGUGGGCUGGUGGUAUUAGGACCAACUUUUGUGUGCAUCAA